rnacentral:rRNA from 1 species
UUUUGCAUAAGGGUUGUUUAAAAAAAAUUAAAUAUUUAUUUUUCCCGAAAUAAUUGUUGAGUUAUUUAAAAUAAUAUAUAAUUUGUUAUAUAAAAUUACAUAUAAGUUUUAAAUAGAAAUGAAAUUUUUUUCAAAAGUUAUUAUAUCUGGUUAUAAAUAAAAAAACUAAAUGUUUUUCUAUAAAAAAAAUUUUUUUUUGAAUAAGUUUAUAUAGAAGAUUAAAUUAGGGAUUAGCUUGAUUUAUUAAUUUAAAUUAAUAUAGAAAUUAUUAUCUAUAUGAAAGGAAUAAAGUUGUCUAUAUUUUUUUAUAAAAAUAUUUAAAAAAAUUUUCUUAAAAAAUAAAAUUAUUAAUUAAAUAUUAUUUAAUAAUAUAUUUAAUUUGAAAUAUAAAUAAAUAUGAGUAUAUAAGUAUAAGAAAAGAAAAAAAAAUUGGUAAUUAAAUAUUUAAAUAAAAAAAUUUAAAUAAUAAAAAGGAAUUCAGCAAAAUAAUUUUAGUGAUUUUUUUAUGUAAGUUGACUGUUUAUCAAAAACAUUUCACUUUGAUUUUAUAAAGUGUAUGAUCUGCUCAAUGAUUUUAUUAAAUUGCUGUGGUAUUUUGACUAUACGAAGGUAUUGAAAUAAGACUUUUAAUGAGUGCUAAGAGAAUGGUUUCACAAUUUACAACUGUCUUUUUAUUAAUAAUUGGAAAUUAAUUUUUUUGUGUAAAAGCUAAAAUAAAAUUAAGGGACAAGAAGACCCUAUGAAUUUUUCUAUUUUCCCAAUAAAAAAAAUUUUUUAUUGGGAAAAUUUAAUUGGGGUGAUUAGAAAAGAAUAAAAAUCUUUUUUUUCAAAAAAAUUGAUCCAUUUAUUAAUGAUAAUUUGAUAAAAAUACUCUAGGGAUAACAGCGUUAUAAUUUUGGAUAGCACAUAUUGAUAAAAUUGAUUGCGACCUCGAUGUUGGAUUAGGAUUCUUUCUUAUAUGAAGAAGUAAAGAAAAGAAGUUUGUUCAACUUUUAAAUUCCUACAUGAUCUGAGUUCAGACCGGCGAGAGCCAGGUUGGUUUCUAUCUUUAGUUUAAAUUUCUUUAAUUAGUACGAAAGGAAUAUUAAAGUAUAAUAAUUAUAAAAAAAUUUUUACAUCAAAUUUGUUAUUUUAAUUGUUUCAAUUAAAGAAAUUUAAACUAAAGAUAGAAACCAACCUGGCUCUCGCCGGUCUGAACUCAGAUCAUGUAGGAAUUUAAAAGU